rnacentral:rRNA from 1 species
GUGGGGAAUAUUGGACAAUGGGCGCAAGCCUGAUCCAGCCAUGCCGCGUGAGUGAUGAAGGCCUUAGGGUUGUAAAGCUCUUUCAGUGGGGACGAUAAUGACGGUACCCACAGAAGAAGCCCCGGCUAACUUCGUGCCAGCAGCCGCGGUAAUACGAAGGGGGCUAGCGUUGUUCGGAUUUACGGGGCGUAAAGCGCAAGUAGGCGGAUCGUUAAGUCGGGGGUGAAAUCCUGGAGCUCAACUCCAGAACUGCCUUCGAUACUGGCGAUCUUGAGUCCGGAAGAGGUGAGUGGAACUCCUAGUGUAGAGGUGGAAUUCGUAGAUAUUAGGAAGAACACCAGUGGCGAAGGCGGCUCACUGGUCCGGUACUGACGCUGAGGUGCGAAAGCGUGGGGAGCAAACAGGAUUAGAAACCCGAGUAGUCC